CCUACGGGUGGCAGCAGUGGGGAAUAUUGGGCAAUGGACGCAAGUCUGACCCAGCAACGCCGCGUGAAGGAAGAAGGCUUUCGGGGUGUAACAUUCUUUUAAGGGGGAAGAGCAGAAGACGGUACGCCGUGAAUAAGCCACGACGAACUACGUGCCAGCAGGCGCGGUAAUACGUAGGUGGCAAGCUUUUUCCGGAUUUACUGGGUGUAAAGGGCGUGCAGCCGGAGAGACAAGUCAGAUGGUAAAUCCACGGGCUCAACCCGUGAACUGCCUUUGAAACUGUUUCCCUUGAGUGUCGGAGAGGUAAUCGGAAUUCCUGGUGUAGCGGUGAAAUGCGUAGAUAUUAGGCAGAACACCAGUGGCGAAGGCGGAUUACUGGACGAUAACUGACGGUGAGGCGCGAAAGCGUGGGGAGCAAACAGGAUUAGAUACCCUAGUAGUC
rnacentral:rRNA from 1 species